AUUGAACGCUGGCGGCAGGCCUAACACAUGCAAGUCGAGCGGAUGAAGGGAGCUUGCUCCUGGAUUCAGCGGCGGACGGGUGAGUAAUGCCUAGGAAUCUGCCUGGUAGUGGGGGAUAACGUCCGGAAACGGGCGCUAAUACCGCAUACGUCCUGAGGGAGAAAGUGGGGGAUCUUCGGACCUCACGCUAUCAGAUGAGCCUAGGUCGGAUUAGCUAGUUGGUGGGGUAAAGGCCUACCAAGGCGACGAUCCGUAACUGGUCUGAGAGGAUGAUCAGUCACACUGGAACUGAGACACGGUCCAGACUCCUACGGGAGGCAGCAGUGGGGAAUAUUGGACAAUGGGCGCAAGCCUGAUCCAGCCAUGCCGGGUGUGUGAAGAAGGUCUUCGGAUUGUAAAGCACUUUAAGGUGGGAGGAAGGGCAGUAAGUUAAUACCUUGCUGUUUUGACGUUACCAACAGAAUAAGCACCGGCUAACUUCGUG
rnacentral:rRNA from 1 species